ACGGGAGGCAGCAGUCGGGAAUAUUGCGCAAUGGAGGAAACUCUGACGCAGUGACGCCGCGUGCAGGAAGAAGGUUUUCGGAUUGUAAACUGCUUUAGACAGGGAAGAAAGAAAUGACAGUACCUGAGGAAUAAGCUCCGGCUAACUACGUGCCAGCAGCCGCGGUAAUACGUAGGGAGCGAGCGUUAUCCGGAUUUAUUGGGUGUAAAGGGUGCGUAGAUGGAUAAUCAAGUUAGUUGUGAAAUACCUUGGCUUAACUGAGGAACUGCAACUAAAACUGAAUAUCUUGAGUGCUGGAGGGGAAAGCGGAAUUCCUAGUGUAGCGGUGAAAUGCGUAGAUAUUAGGAAGAACACCGGUGGCGAAGGCGGCUUUCUGGACAGUAACUGACAUUGAGGCACGAAAGUGUGGGGAGCAAACAGGAUUAGAUACCCUGGUA
rnacentral:rRNA from 1 species